CCAGCCUGCCUUGCCCUGGCCGGGCAACUAAAGAGAAUCUGGGCGCUCACUGUCGCAACUCUCACCUCAGCCAUCUUGGCUCAGCCCACCACUGCGCGACCGGAAGUCGGCGGUUUCCCAGACAACGAGGCAAGCGGAAGUUGUAGGACUGUGGAGGACGCUGAGGAGCCGGGGAAGGAAGUAAAUAGCCGAGUGACCUAAGGAAUCGGGGGAGAGUUAGGGUCUGCUCCACAGAAGGCUUACCGCUGAAAGAGUAGGGGAGGGAAUGCGCAGCCACUCGCUGCCUUUAUCCCGAGAAGCCCCUAACCCCUCUCGUCGUGGUCUGUACAUGAAUUUGCAAACACGCUCCCGGUGGGCUCCGUUUGAGCAGCAGUCUUUUGAUCGGAAAUAUUUAAAAGUUAGGAGAUUUCGCAAGAAAUCGGCCAUGGGAUAAAGAGACGACAGUCGGCCUGCGUUUCUGCAAGGCAGUGAAAUCGAUCUGAAUGGCGGCUGCGACUGUAGAUAAACAUUUCUUGGCCUUUUUACCACAGUCUUCCCUUCCUAGCAUACUUCAGGCGUUUUCCAGUGCCUGUCUGGCCCCAGGUGCGGUGAAUUAAAUGUUUAGUGUUUCUAAACCAGGAAAA